UUUAAUUCUUAUAGUAGCAUUCCGUAGUUCAUUAUUUAGUUUAUUUCGUGCAUUAUGAGGGUGAAUUAGUAAUUAUAUGUGCUCAAAUCUGGAGAAACCGAGGAGCCGAGAUUUUAGCGGGAUACACCCACUACUUUCCAUGUACUCCACGCCUCAUUCAUCAUCAUCCUUAAUUACUCCAGCUUCUCUCUCCAUUUUUGACUUCUCAAAUUCCAGCCAAACCCUAGCCGCCUCCACCACCGUUUUCGCCGAUACAAGCUUAAAUUCAUCCGCUGUUACCUUCGAUUUUCAGUCAUCCGUUCUGUUCUGAACAAUACUCCACCGCCACCAUCACCGUUUUCGCCAAUAAGAAGAGUUCUUAAAAUGACAAAAAGAGGACGACCAACAAAUUCACAACAAUCCCAGCAAGAGGAGAUGCAAUUGUGUAUGAGGACAACUAAAAACAAACGGUGCAGAGUGAGUUCCUUUCGUUGGAACCGUUCAAAGCUGUCAGCCCGGUCAUUAUAGACACUUGGUGCUCUUACUUGAAUAACAUGGAGAAGCUGAAGGCACCAGAUAGUAGUUGUCAUUAUUUUGAUUGUUGUAGGAAAUACGAACUAUCAACGGGCUGAUGAGUACUUCAAUGAGUUAACCGCACAGUUAUUAGAG